AUGGCCGAGUUCUUCGGAAGGAAGAGCAGGUACGUGCGCAUGGACGACCUGCUCCCGCCGGAGCCGGUGGUGGAGAAGGAGGAGGGCGUCGGCGGCGGGGUCCGUGUUCGCGGCGGCGCGAGGAGACACGUCUUCUUCUGCUCCGUCUUCGCCUCCCUCAACCACGUCCUCCUCGGCUACGACGUCGGUGUGAUGAGCGGCUGCAUCAUCUUCAUCCAGAAGAACCUCCACAUCGACGAGCUACAGCAGGAGGUGCUCGUCGGCUGCCUCAGCUUCAUCUCGCUCCUCGGCAGCCUGGCUGCCGGCAGGACGUCCGACGCCAUCGGCCGGAAGCGGACCAUUGGGCUCGCGGCCGCCAUCUUCCAGGCCGGCGCGACCGUGAUGGCGCUCGCGCCGUCCUUCGCCACGCUCAUGGCCGGGAGGCUGCUGGCUGGCAUCGGCAUCGGGUUCGGCCUCAUGGUCGCGCCGGUGUACAUAUCGGAGAUCUCGCCAGCGGCGCAUCGGGGCUCGCUCGCCUCCCUCCCUGAGAUCUUCAUAAGCUUCGGCAUCCUCCUCGGCUACGUCUCCAAUCUCGCCUUCGCGGGCCUCCCUGACCACGUCAACUGGCGCGUCAUGCUCGCCGCCGGCAUCCUCCCGUCCAUCUCCGUCGCCUACGUGCUCACGGUGAUCCCGGAGUCGCCGCGGCGGCUCGUCAUGCAGGGGCGCACCGGCGAUGCGCGGGCCGUGCUUGUUAAGGUAACCGAGACCGACGAAGAAGCGCAGGAGAGGCUCGCCGAGAUCGAGGAGUCGGCGCGCGUGACAACCAACGACAAGGCGGUGUGGAGGGAGAUCGCGAGGCCGUCGCCGGUCGUCCGCCGGAUGCUGCUCGCCGGGCUGGGUGUCCAGUUCUUCCAGCAGGCCACCGGCAUCGACGCGCUCGUCUACUACAGCCCGACCAUAUUCCGUGACGCCGGCAUCGCCAGUGAGGGCCACCUCCUGGCCGCCACCGUCGCGGUGGGGCUCUCCAAGACGAUCUUCAUCGUGAUCGCCAUACUCCUGGUCGACCGCGUCGGCCGGAAGCCCCUGCUCCUCAUCAGCACGGUCGGCAUCACCGCCUGCCUGGCCGUGCUCGCCGCGUCUCUCUGCCUUCUCGCACGCGGCGCGCUCCCGGGCGGCGCGGCGGUCGCGCUGGCCAUCGUGACGGUGUGCGGCUUCGUGGCCUUCUUCUCGGUGGGCAUCGGGCCCAUCAACAUGGUGCUGAGCUCGGAGAUCUACCCGCUGAGGCUGCGCGCGCAGGCGGUGGGCCUCGGCCUGGCGGUGAACCGGCUGACCAGCGGCGCCGUGGCCAUGUCGUUCCUGUCCAUCUGCCGCGCCGCGUCCGUGGCCGGCGCGUUCACGGCGUUCGCGGCCGUCUCGGCGCUGUCCGUGGCGUUCGUGCUCUGGUUCGUGCCCGAGACCAGCGGCAAGACGCUCGAGGAGAUCGAGUUGCUGUUCGGGGAAGCCGGUGGCAGCGGCGGCGACGUGGAGCUCGGCGACGGUGAACAUCUGGUGCACGGGCGAUGA
rnacentral:rRNA from 1 species